UAGUAAGUGUUUUAUGGCACUUUUUAAAUCCAUAUCCACCUUGUGUGCAAUGUCAGUCGAUCUUCUUCAUGGAGAUCGACCAAACAUCAACCUUUAUUUUUAACUCUUUGUCUGAAAAAUAUUAUGAAUAAACAAUUCAAAAUA
rnacentral:misc_RNA from 1 species